GAAGGGUAGAACAGGUCUGUGUUUAUGUGUGUGUGUGUGUGUGUGUAUAUAUACAUAUACACACACACACACACACUAAUAAACACAGACCUAUUCUACC
rnacentral:miRNA from 1 species